rnacentral:ribozyme from 13 species
AAGAGAAAUAGAAGAAUAAAGAAGAGAAGAAUUCUCAGAAAGAGAAGAAAUAACAGAAUCAAGUUCGACAUUUUCAAAAAUUUUUCUUCUUAUUUCCUCUCUUUCUUCAUGUUUUGUUC